UUUUAACACGGAGUAGAAAAUUGAAAAUAGAACAUGUACUAACCAGAAUUUAUUGCAGCAUGAAUUUCAAUGCUCAACAAGUAAGAUGAUCCAUGAGCAUACAAUGCAACCUGAAGCUGCAAACAACACGGUAUAGUGAAUUUAUUCAAAUAUGCUGCUCAAAGAAAAUUACAAGUAUAUCAAAUAAUCACAUGUGAUACGUUUCUAAUAAGUCAUGGGCUUCAAAGUGGAACAGCAGAGUAUGGGUGCAGUAAACAUAGACAAGUAAAAGAAUCGAGAUCUUUACUUUAGCAAAGCGCAACUCAUCCAAAAGAAACAGAAUGGAGUCUUCUAACUUCUGAAGAAAAAAAACUCAUGCAUACAUCUCACCUUAUACACGCACAUUAACGUCAGUCUAGGUGGGAAUUUCUCCGGUACUUAGCUAAGAACACUUUCUUUCGUUCAUCCUCAGCGCAGAGCUAAACUUUGGAUGAAACACUAAUGACGAAAGAUUCACCAAAGACGGAAAAUUAAUUUUAACCGGAUAAUCACAUUCAGCUAGCCAUUCACCUAUCUAAAUUUGGUAAAACAGCAUAAACCAGAUAAGAAGAAGAAAACCUUCAAAAAUACCUAACCAAAGGCUAAAAUUUUAAAAAUUAUCUGCAUCCAAGAGUACAUGACUUGUGCAAAGAAGACACGAGACAGGCAGGCAUCCAAACCAGUGAAAACACCAAAGCCGAACGCUGGCAAGCAGACAUGAAAAAAGCCCCAAGAAAGGGAUGAUUUGGGCAGCUCCUCUUAUCAAUUAGAGAACUGAACUCAAAUUUAUUUACUAAUUUCACCUUGACAACCUCAUUUAGAAAAGCCGACUCUUAACAUAAACAAAAACUCAUUAUGAAAGUACAGUUAUUAGUUGCUAAUUAAUCAAGCAAAACAACUGCACUGAAAAUAAUGCAAUCAGUCAGGAUCACACCUUAUGCUCCUUCAAAUCUAAGUGAAACUCCUUGUGUUUUUUUUUUUUUUUCCUUGGCGUUGGAGACGACUUAUAAGCCAUUGACUGAGCUUUCCUCGUCUCUCCUCCAUUGCCAACUGAACAGUACCUAUGAUCAUUGAUUUCCCUGGUGUCUUCUCCCAUGCACCUUUUCUCUAAAUGUACCAAAUGAACAACAUAAUCGGAUAACAGGAGGAAAUUGAACUAAAAACGAAAAAAGAGAGGGAUUAGAGUAGAAAUGUCCUUAUCAGUGGACAAAGAGACUUAUCGACGGGCACCGUUCGUGGUUUGAACAAAAAAGUGUUUCUGGAGAAUAAUUAAGAAUUAAUAGAUAAUUAAAAUGGAAGAUUAUUCUUAUUGCUUGAUUACUACUAUUUAUACACAAGUGAGUUAACUGCCGCUCAGCUCAACCAACCAACCAGUUUCUUUUGAUUAUAACAAUUUACUAAUGAUCUAACUAAUUCUUCCGGACUAAUAUUCUUUUCGUAGCUAAAAUAAAUAGUCUUUUAACUUCUACGGCUCCCCUCAAGAUGGAAUUGGGAUAAAUCAACCAACCCCAUCUUGAAUAAUAGGAAUGAGAAAACGUGUUGAGAUAGGGGCUUGGUAAACAGAUUCGCUAACUAGGGUUUAGAGGAAAUAUGUGAGGUUGAGAUAAAGCCAGUAUUAAGUUUGUUUCUAACAAUAUGACAAUCUAUAUCUAUGUUUUUUAUAAGUUCGUGAAAGAAUGGAUUGGCUACUAUGUGUAAAGCAGCUUGAUUGUCGCAUUUGAGGGGAAUAGGUAGUAAUAUUUUUAAUUGAAAAUCUUGAAGUAUAUAAGAGAACCAUUGUAAUUCACACACAGUACUCACCAUGCUCCUAUACUCGGCUUCUGCUCAGGAUCGACUCAUAGUUGGUUGCUUCUUUGACUUUCAAGAAGUGAGGAGCCAGAAAGAUGCAGUAACCUAUCAAUGAUUUUCUUGUGAUUGGACAUGCGGCCCAAUCUGUAUC
rnacentral:lncRNA from 1 species